GACAGGGGUUACACUAGUUUAACCUUGGCAAACAUGUCCAGACAAGUCCUUGGUACAAGAUUAACAUACUCAGACAUGGCAGGGCAAGACUCAGGUAUAAGAUUAGCGUAGACAAAUAUGUCUUAAGUACCCACCACCCAAAAGUACAAUAGAACUUCCUUUGCAUGUCUGGAGCCUGAGGCAAGUCAGGUGAUGAGAUUUGGCUUCCCUUGGCUAACAAUGAGCCCAGCAAUUGUCACCUCUGGGAACUUCCUGGAGUCCUUUUUCAAGGGGAAAAUAGCUUUGGAAUGGAGGAAACUGGCAAAUGAGUUGAUUUUAUAUUAUUUUUAAAGUUAGGUAACUUCCCUGAGCUUACAUGCAGGGAAUAUAUUCAAGGAUACAGUCAGGCAUAAUAUUUGUAACAUUUAACUUUAAAGAUGUGCCCCCCCCCCGUAAUUUCCGUAACAGGGACACUUGGAGGGUCUGGACUCAGGGGCCACUGCCUGCUACAUUCAUUCUGGGGUUUAGCACCCUCCAUGCAGUUACACCAGGAGUUUACAGUUUUAUUUGCACUGCCCGUUAAACCACCUGUUAUCCUCAGUUCUUCUUCGUUCUUAAGCCAGAAAGAUGCACAGGCACGCACAAAAGUACAGCGGGAGCCUGCAAAGAAUGCUCGUUUCGUUUCAUUUCCCUCCCUAGAUGGGCAUCUAUCUGGGCUUUGAAAGUUUUUCCCUCUUGUGACCGCCUGCGGCAAAUAAACAAAAUUCCCAGGGAAGUGGCGGCGGCAUACGGCACUCAAACAGCCCCCUGAAUGUUAUUGUUCUCAGAGUUGUAAGGCGUUGACUACAAACAACCUCUGAAUGGCAAAGGGAGAGGGCUUGCUGAAGGCAAGGUGAUAUUCCCUCAUUAAAAUACAGUCGUAAGAAGUGUGCGUGUGUGUGUGUUCAGGAGGGUAGAAAGCUCUGCCUUAGAGCAGAUCAGAAACCACUUGGAAGUCCUUGUUUGCAAAAGCAGGGGGAAAAGGGAAACAUGUAUUGUACUUGUGCACAGAGUAACCCCCGGAGAACCGUUAAUGCUGCCGCGUGUUAAAAGGAAACUUUUGUUAACUAAGUAUGGAUCACAACAAUUGCAUUUUGGGAACAUUGUUCGAAAUGGGCCUCCCAGGUUGUGCUUGCUGAACACACAGCUGAAAGGACGACAUGGAGUUUGUGCCUUGUUAUAUCUGGUGUUUCUGAAGUAUUUCUAGAAUUUCAGGUCGCUCACAAUAUGCCAGGCCGACUUAUGCAUCAUGAAAACAAGGACACUGAUUGGCACAAUAUUUACAUAUGCUAAUAUAAAGUAAAGGUAAAGGGACCCCUGACUAUUAGGUCCAGUCGCGGCCGACUCUGGGGUUGCGGCGCUCAUCUCGCUUUAUUGGCCGAGGGAGCCGGCGUACAGCUUCCGGGUCAUGUGGCCAGCAUGACUAAGCCGCUUCUGGCGAACCAGAGCAGUGCACGGAAAUGCUGUUUACCUUCCUGCCGGAGCGGUACCUAUUUAUCUACUUGUACUUUGACGUGCUUUCGAACUGCUAGGUUGGCAGGAGCAGGGACCGAGCAACGGGAGCUCACCCCAUCGCGGGGAUUAGAACUGCUGACCUUCUGAUCGGCAAGUCCUAGGCUCUGUGGUUUAACCCACAGCGCCACCCGCGUCCCAUAUGCUAAUACAGAGACACACAAAAUUAGAAAUGAUUGCUACAAUUUAAAUAGAACUAUAUCUCAGUGUAGUUGGGAAGAAGUUGCAUGCAGAAGGUCCCAGAUUCAGUUCCCGACAUCUCCAGGCAGAGCUGGGAGAAACCCGUGUCUGAAACUCUGGAGAGCUGCUGCCAGUCAGUGCAGGCAAUCCUGAGCUACAUGGACCAAUGGUCUAAUUCAGUAUAAAGCAGCUUCCUAUGUUAUGCUGCUAUGAAAGACCGACAGGUGAGCUGUGCACCUGCUCCGUCUUCUCUCUAGGUGCGAACUGUUGAUGGGCCCCUGUCCAAAAAAGGGAGGUACGAGGAGGUCCGGGGAAAUAAGUGUAAGGAAGAUAUGCUAUGGAAAAUUAAUGUGUUUUUAACUGUUUUCAUUUUGUUUGUUUCUUUUUAUUUUUCAUUGCUUUGUUAUAUCUUAAUAAGGGUUUUUUUUAUUCUUCUUGCGGUAUUUUGUAUUUUCUUGUAUUUUUAUUUUUUGUUUUUGUGUAAUUCUUGUAUUUUUUGAAAUUUUAAUAAAUAUCAUUUAAAAAAAAAAAAGAUUAGCGUAGACAAAUAUGUCUUAAGUACCCACCACCCAAAAGUACAAUAGAACUUCCUUUGCAUGUCUGGAGCCUGAGGCAAGUCAGGUGAUGAGAUUUGGCUUCCCUGUCUGACUGAAUGGCAGAGGGGGAGCUUUUCACCUGCCACUUUCAAAUGGCUACACCCAGUCUAGGUCCAUUCCCAAGUCCAGGGUGGAAAUAUACUCGGAGUCGAGAGUGGAUUUCAUGUUCUUUAUUCAGCUCCUAGUGGUGAGGAGGAAUGGAAGUUCCCCCAGAAUGUCUGCUUUAUAUACAUUAUUUACACAAUGGGCCCCACGUAAUUGGCUAAUUCCGGGAUUCUCCUGUAGGCCAAUCAGGUUGCAGAUUCACUUCCACCUGGAGCUGGAUUGGCUGGUUCCUGUGGACCAAUCAGACUGCUGCGUUCUGAAUCCUAUUGUUCUAGGACCAAUCAGACUGCUGCGUUCUGAAUCUUAUUGUUCUAGGACCAAUCAGACUGCUGCAUUUUGAAUCCUAUUCAACUCAGUACAUAACAAGGGUCAAGAUCCAUUCGAAAGCAGCACAUCGCGCCACAACGAGAGUCAGCCCAAGCAAAGCCACAGCCUUCCAGUUGAGUUGCGCUUGGGUUUUCCUGGAUGUUGUUAGAAAUUGACAGCAGAGAGUGCAGACGCGUGUAACCCAAGCGGACGGCUGAAUCAGCAGAAUGAGCCCUCGUUGGUAAAGAUUUAUUAUACGUUAUCAGUAGCAUCCACAAUCUUUCUGUGAUUAGAGCUCCAUUGUGCGUAAUUAUCUCAUAGGAAUCUGGCUCUUUGAUGUGUGUUUCAUCUACCAGGCUGAAAUACAGUUCAAUUUGAGUGGCUUUUUCAUGGUUGGGUGGAAUUUACAUUAAUUCUUCUAGGCCUGCAGGGCUGGAUUGGACUGUCACUAGUAAGAUCAUCAUAAAUAUUCAUAUGUACAGCGUUCUUGUAAUGCUGGCAAAGAGGCAAUCAAGGAAUCCCAAUAAUGACUAGCUCUGGCGCCAUUGUGGAAACAGAAGCCUGUGUAGAACUGAUGUAAAAGGUAAAAAAAGUAAAGGAACCCUAGACGGUUAAGUCCAGUCAAAGGCGACUAUGGGGUUGUGGUGCUCAUCUUGCUUUCAGGCUGAGGGAGCCAGCGUUUGUCUGCAGGCAGCUUUCCGGGUCAUGUGGCCAGCAGGACUAAACCACUUCUGGUGCAACGGAACACAGUGACGGAAACCAGAGCACACAGAAAUGCUGUUUACCUUCCUGCCACAGUGGUACCUAUUUAUCUACUUGCACUGGUGUGCUUUCGAACUGCUAGGUAGGCAGGAGCUGAGACAGAGCAACAAGAACUCACCCCGCCAUGCGGAUUUGAACCGCCGACCUUCUGAUCAGCAAGCCCAAGAGGCUCCGUGGUUUAGACCACAGCGCCACCCGUGUCCCUUCUGUGUGGUACUGAUGUGGAAGCCUAUAGAAAUUGUGCCUCCCCACAUCCAAGAGCAACAACACCAACCACACCAUGUGACUCCAAGACAGUCCUAUGGGUGAUUCCAGUGCAUGUAGGAGAUUCCUAGCUCAUUUCCUGGCAUCUCCUGAUGGGGCUGAGAGUGUUCCCAGUUAGAAACCCUGGAAAGCUGCUGCUACCAGUCAGUGUAGGCAGUGUAGGCAAUGCUGGGCUGGAGAGACCAAUUGUCUGACUCCCCUGUUUCAAUGUGGCCUGUCCAUUUUAAAGGAGAAGCGUCUUAACCCAGCUCCGAGUCAGAGCAGAACUGAAACAAGCUACGAGCACUAUGCCUAUUAGCUCUUCAGAGACAAAUAAUCUGCCAUUGAGAGCUAACAUGGGGGAGAUCAGGCUGAGCGAGCGGAGAUGAAGAUCACUUUAAUAGCUCUUCUCAAAGCAGCAGCGAUCAGGCAGCCGCACAAGACAGAGGAGGAGGAGGAGGCCUCUGUGUAGGUAAAGGCUUUGUUAAAGGGAGGCGAGGAAGAAGCUGGAACGCUGUUGUCAAGCAGCGCCGUGCUUUAAUUUCAUGCCACAUUAUGACAAUUGGCUCUGCAAAGCACUCGAUGCGUGCGGCGGCCGAACUGGUCUAUUACAACUUGUGCCACCAUGGCCAAUGGGCCUGCGAGACUCGCGAUAAACCUGAUUAAAUAGCAAUGUGGAGGGAAGGGGGGGGUUGAUUAAUUCAAUCUAGCAGCGUCUAGAUCCAGUCUGUGGGGAGAGCUUCACCCCGCUGCUUCAGCCCUCCGAUCCUAGCUUUGCGAGAUGGGGGAAUCCUACGCUACUCUGCUUUCUCACAAAACAAAAACAAGCAUUUGUUUCGUUUUGCUUUUAUUUAUUUAAUUAUUGCAUUUACACCCUGCCUUUUCCUCAAAGGAGCUCCAGGUGGUGUACAUAGUUGUCCGUCCCCCCCCCCUCCUUAUUUAAUCCCCACAAUAAUUCUGUGGGGUAGGUUGGGCUGAGAGGUCCAAGGUCACCCAGUGAGCUUCAUGGCUGAGCAGGGAUUCGAACCCUGGUGUGGCGUUUGCCUCCUAGGUGGGUCAUAAGGAAAGGGUUAAAUGAGUGUGAUGUGAUUGGCCAGAGAGAAACUGAUAGGAGGAGUUAGGGUUAGAGUCGGAAUUGUGUGGAAGUCAGUUGCGAGUUGUUGGGAGUUGGAGAAGGAAGAGGGAGGAUACGUCUGUGGGUUGGUUGGUUGAGUUGUGUUGUGAGAGAGUGAGAGGAACUGUUAGGUGGAGUCAGAUAGUUGGGAUAAUCAGUUUGAAGUUGUUAGGGACGAAUAGGUCAGUAAAGAAACUAAGAUUAAGAAACUGACAAGAAAAAUUAACUGAAACCUUAAACUUGUUCAUGCUUCUAAAAAUAAACUUGAUUAUUUGUUAAUGUUAACAACUGACUGGACUCCGUGUGUACCCGAGGGAAACGGGUUGGUGGCAGCAAAGAGGCAAUCCCAGUGGUGGCAUAGGGAUCAAUAGACUGUCAAACGUCCGGGGACCCUGUGUGAUCGCCACACCUGGUCCCCCAGCUCCCAGUCCAACACUCCAACCCGUACGGAUCUCACAGAGCUCUUCAGUACUCCAUAAGCAGCAUUUUAGACAGCCGCAGGUUGAGAGACCUGUCCGGGCUUACUAAAGGACACAAACCACCGCCAGAAAUAAAGGCCGGUGUGAAGCUGCAGUUUUAAUAAUAAUAAUAAUAAUAAUAAUGUGCAAGCAGGAAUACACACCACUCAGUCACCUCUUAAUUAUGUUAAGGGAAGAAGGAGACUUCUUCCCCCUUCCCACCGCCACUGAGGGAUUAUGGGAGAAAGUCAAUCCCUCUUACUUCAGCCACAUAAAUCCCCUGUAUCUAUUUGUCUGCAAUUUGGCAGGCUUAAUCCACUCUGCACUUGUAAAUUUCAUCCACGUUUGCCAAAGGGAGGCAGCCAUAGCUGUUUUUAGAUUCCACGUUAUAGUGAACUAGCAGAAAGUACUAGGCAUUGCUCGGUAAUUCUGCUUAAAAAACGGAAAAACCCUGAGAUUUAUAAAUGGGUAAUGCAAAGUUUCCUGCCAAAUUUUGUCAACACCAGCACAGUUUUAAAAGAUUCUGUCUGAUUCAAAAUGGCCUCUGGUGUUAUCCAAACAAAGACCAAAAUCCUCUCCUUGAUAUCACAAACCAUCAUGUCAAAUUGGGAGAUUUUUUGGGAGAAAUUGGGAUGGUCAGAGGUGCUCUAAUCAGCACAGUUUAAAAUGGUUUAGUCUGCCAUCUGGAUUCAAAAUGGCAUCUACCGCAUUCAAACAUAGACAAAGCCCUGCUCCUCUAUCUCAGGAACUAGCAAGCCUAACUGAGUGAUGAUGUGUGUCAAUGCAUAAAGAAUAGCUGACAGACAGACAAGCAGACAACUUUCCAGGGUUCUGUCUAUGUUUGUGAAAUAUACUUGGAGUCGAGUGUGGAUUUCAUGCUCUUUAUUCAGCUCAUAGUAGUGAGGAAUGCCAGUUCCCCCAAAAUGUCUGUUUUAUAUACAUUAUUUACACAAUGGGCCCCACAUGAUUGGCUAAUUCCGGGAUUCUCCUGUAGGCCAAUCAGGUUGCAGAUUCACUUCCACCUGGAGUUGGAUUGGGUGGCUCCUGCAGACCAAUCAGAAUGCUGCAUUCUGAAUCCUAUUGUUCUAGGACCAAUCAGACGGCUGCGUUCUGAAUCCUAUUGUUCUAGGACCAAUCAGACUGCUGCAUUCUGAAUCCUAUUGUUCUAGGACCAAUCAGACUGCUGCAUUCUGAAUCCUAUUGUUCUAGGACCAAUCAGACUGCUGCAUUUUGGAUCCUAUUCAACUCUGUGUAUAACAGUUUGGAUACCACUGGAUACCAUUUUGAAUCAAGAUGGUGGACUACAUUGUUCCCAGCAUGCAUUUGGAUAUCAUCGCCCAAUUCUACAUGAAAAUUCCCUAGAUCAAGGAGCAGGCUUUUUCUCCACAUGAGCUACCAUGGGACACCAUUUUGAAUCAAGAGAGUAGAUGGAAUCUUCCUCAAUUGCACCAGUUCUUUGGUUUCUGAGAAUUCCUGAGCAAUGCUGAGUACAAGGCUGCUAGUCUCCCAUUAUGUAUAUGCAUUCAGGCCCUGAAUUUCUCAUGGAAGAGAUGAAGAACUGUUUGGGUACACAGCUUGCGAUUCAGCAAAGGUAAAAGCAACCCAUGUGGGCUGGUAGCCUGCUAAGCACUUGACAGCUGCCCCUCUUCCAAGGCCCUAUGCAGAAAAAUCAGGAGGUUUACUUGGGAUUCAAAUACACUGUUUUGAAUGCGUUAUAAACAUGCAACACCAGAUGGCACCAGAGAGUAAAAUAAAAAAUUCUAUGGGAUUUUCUGUAGCAUUUUUUCUUCUUUUGUUAUAGCAAUUUAAUUUCUGACUUAUAUUGGUUUUUUCCUGGGUGUAGACUCACCCAAGGAUAGCUGAUGGGUUUCAUUUAUCUUAAUAGUUGUCUUAAUUGUAGAUUUAAUGUACCAUAUAUAACCCAAAGUCCAGUACUUUUCUGGGAAAACCCAGCCAGAUGGGUGGGGUAUAAAUAAAUUAUUAUUGAUAUUGAUAUUGAUAUUGAUAUUUUCUGGUCAUGUGUUGUUGUUUAUUAAUUUGUAUUCCGCUCUUCAUCCAAAUAUCACAUGGCAGUUCACAACAUAAAUGGAGCAGCUCUUUCUCUCUGGAGAGUGAGAAAAAGCAGUUUAGAUUCAAAGCACUUUGAAUCCAAACUGCUUCCUCUGCAGGCUCCUGUAACCGUCUAGCAGCUGAUCAGCAGUUACAGCAAAUCUUUUUUUAUUGGUGCUGCAAGACUGUCUUCCGAAGAGGUUUGCUGCAGGCAUCUGACUGGCACUUAGUCACCUCCUUUGACCUUUCACUGGUGUCAGUCACCUGGUUUUAUUAUGACAUCAGAUGACUGGCAGGUAGGUACUCCCGUCUACCUGUCAAAGUUGGUCUACGGGGGAGGGGGGGUAAGGAACCCAGCCCAUGGGCUGGAUCCAGGUUGCCACCCCUCUUUUACAAUGUUAAAUGUUUAGUCCAUACCUAAGGAUUUCGGGACGCGGGUGGCGCUGUGGGUUAAACCACAGAGCCUAGGACUUGCCGAUCAGAAGGUCGGUGGUUCGAAUCCCCACAAUGGGGUGAGCUCCCGUUGCUCGGUCCCUGCUCCUGUCAACCUAGCAGUUCGAAAGCAUGUCAAAGUGCAAGUAGAUAAAUAGGUACCACUCCGGCAGCAAGGUAAAUGGUGUUUCCAUGUGCUGCUCUGGUUCUCCAGAAGCAGCUUAGUCAUGCUGGCCACACAACCCGGAAGCUGUACACCGGCUCCCUUGGCCAGUAAAGCGAGAUGAGCGCCGCAACCCCAGAGUGGGUCACAACUGGACCUAAUGGUCAGGGGUCCCUUUACCCUUUACCUUAAGGAUUCCCAGCGCCCGGCUCAGCUGAUACAUGCACCUCAGAGCCCUAUAUGAGUUAUCAGAGCUUAGAGGACACAGCAGUAACCAAGAUUGGAAUUCGCUUUUUUUCCUAGAAAGCUAUAAAUAAUGGUAAAUAGAAACUAUUGCUGCUAUCCUUCCCCCCCGCCUCUCUGUUUUAGUGCAAUUCAGAUCCUUCACUUUAAACGAUGGCAAGGCAGAUUUGCUCCAAAUCAGUUUGUUUAUGAAAGCAAGCUUUAAAUAAAUUGCUGGUAAUGAAACAAAGAGGGGGAGGCAAGAAAACAGGGUGGUUUUUUUCUCCUGCGCUUAUGGUUGUUGCUAAGGGGUGGGGUUUUUUUGUUUUGUUUGUUAGAUCUUUCUCUGAAAGCUGCCAUUCCUCCCAGUAAAAAAAGAAAACUCAUUUCCCUAUCCAUUUGUGCAAGCCAUAAUUUCCUGCUGCUCUCGCUGCAAACACAUAAUGGGAAUUGCAAAGGGAGAAACCCAUCUUGGAACUGCAAGAGAGAGAGAUCAGCAAAGCCUUAUUGUGCAUUUGCCACCAGGGAAGCAGCGACGGGGAGAGCGGGGUGAGUGUGUGUGUGGAGUGACUUGCCUUCUGAAAUACAUACGAAGGCCUACUGCUGGUGCUACCAUGGUCAAAUCAGUUUCAAUUUAGGAGGGUCAUACCAUUAUCCCCCCCCCCAUCUUGCACAGAUAGGAGCCGGCGGGUAGCUGCAAAACUGUGGAUAGCAGAAGCGGCCGAGUCUGCAGGAAGCCACUUUGCGUUUGGGUUUUGCAGGCUCUUGUCAAGCCACGGCAGUGAUGAAAACCAGCAAUAAUUUAAUAUCACUCAACGCUCGGCUGUGUUAACAGUAAUAUUGCAAGUAAUGCUAUUAAUAUAACGAUGCAUUAGGAACCGCGUCGCUUUCAAAUACGGUUGGCCUCGGAAAAUUGGAAGCAAAAGGCCCAAAAGAACCUUUAACAACGAAUUCUCGGCACUUUGCAAAGCCGCAAAAAACAAGAAUCAUUGUUUGUGUGUGUGUCUUUGCAGGGAACAAAGCCGUGGCAGUUAAGCUGGUGUGAAACGGAGACAAAUUUGUAGUCUUUGGGCCUACUUCUACCACCUAAAAAAACCCUACUAUUCCCAGCUUUGUUCUUCAGCAGAGGUGGGGAAGCUCUGCACAAGCCCAUCUGUUGGGUAGGAUGAAGCACAUGCCUCAGGAGAUGGAAGCAAAAGAGGGAGUGCCCCGCCUACCCUACUCCUGUGGUGUAGUGGUUAAGAGCAGUGGACUCGUAAUCUGGUGAACCGGGUUCGCUUCCCCGCUCCUCCACAUGCAGCUGCUGGGUGACCUUGGACUAUUCACACUUCUCUGAAGUCUCUCAGCCCCACUCACCUCACAGAGUGUUUGUUGUGGGGGGAAAGGGAAAGGAGAUUGUUAGCUGCUUUGAGACUCCUUAAGGGGAGUGGAAGGUGGGAUAUCAAGUCCAAACUCCUCCUCCUCCUCCUCUUUUUCUUCUUCCACUCCCACCGGAACACACACACCCCUUCCAGCAAGAGGGAAGCUUUCCAUUGUGUACCGUAUCUUCACAAUGUAUCUACCGUACAUUGUGUAUCUUCACCACCUCUUGAUAUCGAGAAUCCUUGAUAACUUCAGCAGUGGGGUGUGGUAGUUCGAGCAUUGGACUUUGACCUGGGAGGCCAGGGUUCAAAUCCCCACUCGGCCACAAAGCUCAAUGGGUGGCCUCGGCAGGGCAAUGUCUCUGGGCCGAAACUUACCUCUCAGGAUAGCUGCAAGGAUAAAAAUAUGAGGAGGUGGAAGAGCUGUGUGCGUGUCAAGCUUCAGGGAAUCGGCUCCCCCCCCCCUCGCCGCCGCCCUCCGGUGGUAGUAGAUAAGCAGAACAAAGGAAAAGGAGUCUUCUUACCAGUUAGGAACUUUAAUAAUCACAGCAAGAGAACAAAGAAUCCAUUUCCUAGAAAUGGCGGUGCUCCCAAUUAAGUUCGCUUCCCCCUCCGUACCCAGGGCCAUCAUUACCCAGGGGUGCAAGGGGUGUGGGGCACCCAGGCGCCGAAUUCUGGGGGGGGGGCGCUGGGCACCCACUGCUAAAGCCACCUAAGCACAUUGUAUUGAGCUGCUAUGUGGCAGCAGGGUCAAUAGCAUCUUUGACACAACUGAUCUCGCGCCGCCUGCCUGCCGGGAGGAGGGGGAGUGACAGGAAAGAGGGAGAGACAGACAGAAAGAGAAUGCACCUAUCUAGUGACGGGAGCACGAACAGGCUCCGGAAGAAGAAUUCCCAGCUCCUGUAGAAAUAAGGUUGCUCCCACAAUGAAAGGCUGCCCAAUAUGGCUCUCCCACGCAUGCACACAAUGCCCUCCUGUCUCAUCUUUCAGACACCUCCCUAUGACCAUAAGCACAUGCGUGGAGUCUUUACACCGACUCCCAAUGUGUUCUUUGUCUUCUUUAGAAAAGCUGGUUUUAAACAAACAAAACAACUCCUUUUGGAGCCACGCAGGCAUGAGCGCUAUUUGUUGUUGUUGUUUGGUCGUUUAGUCAUGUCUGACUCUUCGUGACCCCAUGGACCAGAGCACGCAAGGCACUCCUGUCUUCCACUGCCUCACGCAGUUUGGUCAAACUCAUGCUGGUAGCUUCAAGAACACUUUUCCAACCCUUUCAUCCUCUGUCGUCCCCUUCUCCUUGCGCCCUCCAUCUUUCCCAACAUCAGGGUCUUUUCCAGGGAGUCUUCUCUUCUCAUGAGGUGGCCAAAGGGAUAAUAGUGACAUAAGCAUAAUAAAACUAAAUUUGGGCAGAUCUUUGCACCCCAGCGGCUCAUAUGCUAAAGAUGGCCCUAUCCGUACCUAUUAAUCUACCUCACUCCUACAUCUUCUAAUCCGAGCUUGUAGCCUCUGUGUUUUCUGUUCUGCAACUUUCUGAGCUCUCCGGGACUUUGGGGAAGGGGGGUGGAUGCUAUCCAGAGACUGUGAAUCUAUUAACUCUCUCUCUCUUCCAGUGUUUCUUCUCCUAGCUGUUCCCCAUCCAUCCAGUAUUUCCCAGCUUCUGCCUUCUGAACUGUGCCCCUCUGCAAACCACUGUUCCAAAUCUAUACUGUCCUCCUGCUCCUGGGAAGAUUCAGGAUCAGGGGGAGGGGGUGGCUCCCACCAUUCCUCCUCAUUUCAGCCCUCCUCACCACAGUCCCUGACAGUAUACCACCUUGAGGAGGAGGAGGAGUUUGGAUUUCAUAUCCUGCUUUAUCACUACCCGAAGGAGUCUCAAAGCGGCUAACAUUCUCCUUUCCCUUCCUCCCCCACAACAAACACUCUGUGAAGUGAGUGGGGCUGAGAGACUUUAAGAAGUGUGACUGGCCCAAGGUCACCCAGCAGCUGCAUGUCGAGGAGCGGGGACGUGAACCCGGUUCACCAGAUUAUGAGUCUACCACUCUUAACCACUACACCACACUGGCUCUCAAAUCCCAGAGCUCCUUUGGAGGAAAGGUAGGGUGAAAACAUUGAAUAAAUGAAUGAAUAAGAGUUGCAGCCACAGACCGCUAGAGGGCAUCACAUUACCAAUUCACUGGAUGCAGUGCGGCUUUGUUCAAAGUUAGCCUUUGCAGGGCCGUGCUGCUUUUUGUUUGCAAGAACAGUGACCAGAUUCAUGCUUUGCAAUGACCACGUUCAUCACUUAUUGGCCUUUUAGCUAGGAUCAAGUGUAGGACCACAUUUAUGUUUUGCAAGGGAAAUCAGCGCUGGAAGAACAGCCGGUGUGUUUGUGCGUGUUUGUGUGUGAAUGCAAAGGACCAUCGCUCCCACCUUGCUGUCAAUAAUCCACACCAGAACUACAUAAUCACGGCAUUUAAUUAAACAACAGAGGGAAAAGGCCCAUGUAUUAAUAAUGCAGCCCAGCACUUCAGCAUGUCGGGCUAAAUAUUAUUUUCAAAUUCGUAAUGGAACACCUCGGCAUUUGCAAGAAAACAAAAUGUUAUUAGGAGCUUAACAAAGUCCUUUCUUCGCUCAGAGUUCUUGCAUCCCAGGAGCGAGAAGAUGAAAGGGUAUCCGCGGGUGAGGGCAGUGGAUAGGAAGGAUGGAUUUUCAACCCCAUUUUCCUUAGGUGAACAACCAGGGAGGUAAAGUGCCAGAUUACCAAACAGGCAGAGUAAGCACCAUCCUAUGGGCCUCAUGCCUUGGGGGGGGGGCAAGGGGACGCGGGUGGCACUGUGGUGUAAACCACAGAGCCUAGGGCUUGCCGAUCAGAAGGUCAGUGGUUCAAAUCCCCGUGACGGGGUGAGCUUCUGUUGUUCGGUCCCUGCUCCUGCCAACCUAGCAGUUCGAAAGAACGUCAAAGUGCAAGUAGAUAAAUAGGUACCGCUCCAGCGGGAAGGUAAACGGCAUUUCUGUGCGCUGCUCUGGUUUGCCCAAAGCUGCUUAGUCUUGCUGGCCACAUGACCCGAAAGCUGUCUGUGGACAAAUACCGGCUCCCUCGGCCUAUAGAGCGAAAUGAGCACGCAACCCCAGAGUCGUCCGCGACUGGACCUAAUGGUCAGGGGGUACCUUUACCUUUACCUUUAUGGGCCUCACACCUUUUAGGGGGGGCCCAGUGACAAGGGAUCAAAAUAAUAUUAAUUUGAUCUUAAAAGAAAAUUACAGUCAAGUAUUGGGAGAUGUUAGGUGUUGAGCGUUAUUGUAUAUUCCUGUUAUUGUCUCUUUCUGUUGUCUUUCUUUCUGUUAUUGUUAUCUUUCUGUCUCGACAGACAACGCCUCCAGGGGUGAAGUCAACCCGAGUUGUUUUUGCUAUGUUAUCAGCACCAACGUGAACUCUUCAGGAAAAUGCUAUUCCUCUCAUGGAGCUACAAUUCCCAGGGUGCUUAAUCAAUCAUUCCCUCUUCUGAGGGAUCUCUGGGAAUGUCUUAUAAGCUGCCGUAGGUGUUUGAGCUGGAAGACCGGAUAAAAAUAAAGGUAUA